GACGAGGGGUCCAAGCGUUGUUCGGAAUCAUUGGGCGUAAAGCGGGUGUAGGUGGCUCUAUAAGUCAGGAGUGAAAGCCCCGGGCUUAACCUGGGAAUGGCCAUGGAAACUGGCGAGCUGGAGUGUGGCAGAGGGGGGUGGAAUUCCGCGUGUAGCAGUGAAAUGCGUAGAGAUGCGGAGGAACACCGAUGGCGAAGGCAGCCCCCCUGGGCUAACACUGACGCUCAGGCACGAAAGCGUGGGGAGCAAACAGG
rnacentral:rRNA from 1 species